rnacentral:rRNA from 1 species
UUUAUGGAGAGUUUGAUCCUGGCUCAGGAUGAACGCUGGCGGCGUGCCUAAUACAUGCAAGUCGAGCGAACUGACGAGGAGCUUGCUCCUUUGACGUUAGCGGCGGACGGGUGAGUAACACGUGGGUA